AGAAAUUAUUAGAGAAGGAUCACUUCCCUUGACUUCUGCCCACGUCAUUCAUAUUGUCUGAAGGACUGUUUGUCCCCAUUUCCAGAUUUUCUUCUCUCAUUGCUAACCAUAUCCAUUUGGAGUCAAAUUCAUUUGAUUAUACCUUUAUUAUCGCCCCAAGUCUGUUUAUAGAAUACCUCCUAGGACUGCAUUAUACCUAUACCUUAUUUUUGUUGUUGCUUAUUAAGAUAGUUUCUAAAGUGUCUCUUCUUCCCAAGUAUUCCUCAGACAAUUGGAAGAGAAAUGUUUAUCUUCUCAUCUGUCUAAAUAAACAGCAAUCUCCAAAAUGUCUAACUCAACUCAUUGCUUAUAAUAAGCAUCUGAAACAUUUGUCAUAAAACCAUCCUAACUCAUACUAACUGUGGUAAAAAGAUGAAGACAAGUCUGAUGAAGAGAAAAUAAGAAUUCUAUCUAUAAGACACAAAGUUUUAAAUUUAAAAUCAUUCAACUCAAUAUAACUUGCAGCUAUCAAGUAUUAAAUUAUUUUUCUAAAGACAGCAUCAAAGUUAUGAAUACACUAUCAAUUUUUAUGCUGAGAGAUGCUUCCAGA
rnacentral:lncRNA from 1 species